GUGGGUGGUUCUCUCCUGCUAACUUCUAAAGUUGAAGCUAAGGGGAUCAUUAUUUAUCUGGAGACUAUAAGGCUGUGCUGUCCAGUAUGGUAGUCACCAGCCUCAUGUGGCUGUUGAGAACUUGAAAUGUGGCUAGUCCGGAUCGAGAUGUGCUCUGAAUACAGACAAUAUGGAGGCCUCAGGCUCAGAGGAUGGCAGAGUCUUCAGAUGGAUGGAGGGAGCUGCAGUCACUGAACCACUGCAGGGAGAGAAGUACUCACAGACCAGGAACGCUCAACUUGGACUGUUAUGUGACAGAAAGGAGACAUGCAUACAAGGAGAAUGCCAGGUGAACGUGAAGACCAUCAUUUGCAAGCCAAGAGAGGCCUGGAGCAGAUCCUUCAGAGCCCUCAGAAGGGACCAACCCUGCUGGCACCUUGAUUUUGGACUUCCAGCCUCCAGAACUAAGAACUUGAUGUAUACCUCCUGACCUGUUCAUCUUGUAGCUGCCUCUUGACAGCACAUGUUGGCACCUUUAGAAAGAUCUAGAAAUCCACGUGUUGUACGUAAAUCUGGGGCUGUUGUUACUGCAGAUGUACCUUCCACAACUUGAUUUUCUGUGAUGUCAAUUAUUCAGAUAUAAGAGGCCGCCCUGUAGAGGAGGAAGGAGGAAGUUGGCUGUGAUUGACCUUGCUAGGUCAUCUUCCUAAUCUUUGUCCUUUCCUGCACCCCAAAUGGAAGAUAAAAGGCAAUGCAAGAUCAGCAUCCUCAGAGACAUCGUUUUGUUUGGGUUUCAUGGAUUGCAAUUGCCAGAGAUGCUUAGGCUGCCUCUAGAGGGAAGAUGAUUGAUUGUUAACCUAUGUGGUCCAACCAAAUGUCUUAGGGGUUAUUGAUAAUUAAAAUGGACAAUAGCGAUUUUCCAUUUCUUCUGGCCUUGGGUGCUGGCAUGUGGAAGUGGUAUUGAUACUCAUGACCAAAUAGGCACUUAUCGAUUUCAGUUUUCAUAAGUUGCCUACCAAAUGCAAACUAGUAACCCAGACGUGGGAGACCUAAUAUUCCAUUGUUAAUCUUUAGGUCCAUAAUUUUUAUUUCCUCUACUUGCCUCUUCUUCCUUCCUCUGCAUAAUGAGUUGGGCUUAUAUAAUUGCACCCAUUUACUCACUCAUUCGUUCAAUCAAUUAUUUGUUCCUAUUUUAUGCCAAGUAAUGAACAGAAGGUGUUGGGGAUGCAAAACCCAACUAAUUGGAAUUUCUAUGUUACAGGAGCUUAUGCUUUAGUGAAAUUAUAGACAAAUUAUUAUACAGUUUUAAUCCAGAAUAGUAAGUGCUAUGGGAGCAUGCACAGAGGAAACAACCCAAUCUUAAGGAAUCAGGAAGGUUUGCAGAGGACUGACAGGAAAAGUGGGCAGGUGAAGAAGAUGGGCAGUGAGAGGAGGAGUGGAAGCACUUUUGCUAGGGAAAAACAUGAAUAAAAGGGAUAAUUUUCUGCUCUUACCCCUGGGUGAUCUUUGCGUGGUACUGUCCAUCACAGUUGGGAGAGACGGCUCCUCAGAGCUGCUCCACACUGUUCACAGAGGAUGCCAUUCCAAGGAAACUGGGGAAUAGGGAAAGUCUUUAGCUUAUUCCUCUUUGAGGUUUGUUUGAGAUGCAGUUUCUUCAAUAUUUUGAGUCUAUGAAAACAUGUUGUAUACUUAAAUAUAUACCACAAAAAAUAAAAAAAAUUGCGAUUUAAA
rnacentral:lncRNA from 1 species